rnacentral:rRNA from 1 species
CUGAGCAACCUGCCUAUCAGAGGGGGAUAACGAUUGGAAACGAUCGCUAAUACCGCAUGACAUAGCGGAACCGCUUGGUUCUGUUAUCAAAGAUUUUAUCGCUGAUAGAUGGGCUCGCGUCCGAUUAGAUAGUUGGUGGGGUAACGGCCUACCAAGUCGACGAUCGGUAGCCGGACUGAGAGGUCGAACGGCCACAUUGGGACUGAGACACGGCCCAGACUCCUACGGGAGGCAGCAGUGGGGGAUAUUGCACAAUGGGGGAAACCCUGAUGCAGCGACGCCGCGUGAGGGAAGACGGUCCUCUGGAUUGUAAACCUCUGUCUUCGGGGACGAAACGAGACGGUACCCGAGGAGGAAGCCACGGCUAACUACGUGCCAGCAGCCGCGGUAAUACGUAGGUGGCAAGCGUUGUCCGGAAUUACUGGGUGUAAAGGGAGCGUAGGCGGGCAGGCAAGUCAGGCGUGAAAUAUAUCGGCUCAACCGGUAACGGCGCUUGAAACUGCAGGUCUUGAGUGAAGUAGAGGUUGGCGGAAUUCCUAGUGUAGCGGUGAAAUGCGUAGAUAUUAGGAGGAACACCAGUGGCGAAGGCGGCCAACUGGGCUUUUACUGACGCUGAGGCUCGAAAGUGUGGGGAGCAAACAGGAUUAGAUACCCUGGUAGUCCACACCAUAAACGAUGAUU